rnacentral:rRNA from 1 species
GACGAACGCUGGCGGCGUGCUUAACACAUGCAAGUCGAACGAUGAAGCCGGAGCUUGCUCUGGUGAAUUAGUGGCGAACGGGUGAGUAACACGUGAGUAACCUGCCCAUGACUCUGGGAUAACUGCGGGAAACUGUAGCUAAUACCGGAUACGACCCUUGGAGGCAUCUCCUGAGGGUGGAAAGAAUUUCGGUCAUGGAUGGACUCGCGGCCUAUCAGCUAGUUGGUGAGGUAAAGGCUCACCAAGGCGACGACGGGUAGCCGGCCUGAGAGGGUGACCGGCCACACUGGGACUGAGACACGGCCCAGACUCCUACGGGAGGCAGCAGUGGGGAAUAUUGCACAAUGGGCGCAAGCCGGAUGCAGCAACGCCGCGUGAGGGACGACGGCCUUCGGGUUGUAAACCUCUUUUAGUAGGGAAGAAGCGAAAGUGACGGUACCUGCAGGAAAAGCACCGGCUAACUACGUGCCAGCCGCCGCCGUAA